GGCAAAAUUUCUGCUGCUUGCAUUUGUCUUUGGUCUUUCCGCCCGCUCCCCUUCGUUUUUCUUCGAUCAGCGACCUUUGCUCUGUAUUGGGUGUGGUUCAGAUUGAAACAUGUCCACUGUGAGACUUCCCACAUCAUGCUUUAUCAGAAGUUCACCCCCUAGCAAAGUUACAAGCCCAAGCAGAUCUUGUGCCUUGAUCAAGAGUUCAUGUUCUUUGGGUUCUGUAAAGAAUGUAUCUAAAGCAUUUGGCUUGAAGUCUUCCUCCUUCAGAGUUUCUGCGAUGGCAAAUGUAUACAGGGUGAAACUAAUUGGACCAAACGGUGAAGAGAAUGAAUUUGAGGCCCCUGAUGAUACUUACAUCCUUGACGCAGCAGAAAAUGCAGGAGUAGACCUGCCGUACUCAUGCAGAGCUGGGGCCUGCUCUACUUGUGCUGGGCAGCUGGUUACUGGAUCCGUGGACCAAUCAGAUGGGUCGUUCCUCAACGAAGAGCAAAUGGAGAAAGGAUAUGUCCUUACCUGUAUCUCAUAUCCAACUUCAGAUUGUGUUAUUCACACCCACAAGGAAGGUGAUCUCUACUGAAUCAUGUGAGCAGCAAACUUGUUUGCUGAUAAGCCAAACAUGAACUUUCAUCAACCUAGACUGGUAGAAUGUUUUAUGCUGGACUUCAUUUUCUUCUAAAUUGCUUAAUCCAAUGUUUGUAUUAGAUUCUGCUCUCGAAUAUGAUAAUCUUUAGUCUCAAGUAGUCUUCAAGGCUUCACUCUUCUUGAUUCAAGAUCUGAGUUAUUGAAUGCAAACAAAAAUUGUUUAACGUCAGUGCCAUUCACUUGUGAAUGGCACCUUUUUAGAGUAGAUUGCUAAAAACCAGUAUGAAUAGUGUUCUCAUGGAGUAUGCGUGAAUUUGGUUUGAGAGCUGGUUCUGAUUCUUCGUUGUUGUCUUAGAGACUUUCAAAUUGUAAAAUCAAGUCCUAUUAUUAGAUUUUGUUCAAUUAUGAACUUCCAUCAAUAAAUCACAUGGAAAAAUCUGAGAUUACA
rnacentral:misc_RNA from 1 species